UACGAAGGGGGCGAGCGUUGUUCGGAAUUACUGGGCGUAAAGGGCGCGCAGGCGGCCGAUCAAGUCAGAUGUGAAAGUCCUGGGCUUAACCUGGGGACUGCAUUUGAUACUGAUUGGCUUGAAUGCAGGAGAGGAUAGCGGAAUUCCCAGUGUAGAGGUGAAAUUCGUAGAUAUUGGGAAGAACACCGGUGGCGAGGGCGGCUAUCUGGACUGUGAUUGACGCUGAGGCGCGAAAGCGUGGGGAGCAAACAGG
rnacentral:rRNA from 1 species